rnacentral:rRNA from 1 species
ACUCCUACGGGAGGCAGCAGUCGAGAAUAGUCUACAAUGGUCGAAAGACUGAUAGUGCGACGCCGCGUGAACGAAGAAGCCCUUCGGGGUGUAAAGUUCUUUUAUAUGUGAGCAGUGGGUUCCAUAUGAAUAGUAUGGGAUCAGAGAUAUUAGCAUAUGAAUAAGCAACGGCUAACUCCGUGCCAGCAGCCGCGGUAAU